GAAACUUACAACAAAGAGUCCCUCCCGACUGUUUACCAAAAACACAGCACUCUGCUAACUCGUAAGAGGAUGUAUAGGGUGUGACGCCUGCCCGGUGCUCGAAGGUUAAUUGAUGGGGUUAGCAUUAGCGAAGCUCUUGAUCGAAGCCCGAGUAAACGGCGGCCGUAACUAUAACGGUCCUAAGGUAGCGAAAUUCCUUGUCGGUUAAAUACCGACCUGCAUGAAUGGCGUAACGAGAUGGGAGCUGUCUCAAAGAGGGAUCCAGUGAAAUUGUAGUGGAGGUGAAAAUUCCUCCUACCCGCGGCAAGACGGAAAGACCCCGUGGACCUUUACUACAGCUUGACACUGCUAUUUGGAUAAGAAUGUGCAGGAUAGGUGGGAGGCUUUGAGUAUAUGACGCCAGUUGUAUAUGAGCCAUUGUUGAGAUACCACUCUUUCUUAUUUGGGUAGCUAACCAGCUUGAGUUAUCCUCAAGUGGGACAAUGUCUGGUGGGUAGUUUGACUGGGGCGGUCGCCUCCCAAAUAAUAACGGAGGCUUACAAAGGUUGGCUCAGAACGGUUGGAAAUCGUUCGUAGAGUAUAAAGGUAUAAGCCAGCUUAACUGCAAGACAUACAAGUCAAGCAGAGACGAAAGUCGGUCUUAGUGAUCCGGUGGUUCUGUGUGGAAGGGCCAUCGCUCAAAGGAUAAAAGGUACCCCGGGGAUAACAGGCUGAUCUCCCCCAAGAGCUCACAUCGACGGGGAGGUUUGGCACCUCGAUGUCGGCUCAUCGCAUCCUGGGGCUGGAGCAGGUCCCAAGGGUAUGGCUGUUCGCCAUUUAAAGCGGUACGCGAGCUGGGUUCAGAACGUCGUGAGACAGUUCGGUCCCUAUCUGCCGUGGGCGUAAGAAGAUUGAAGAGAUUUGACCCUAGUACGAGAGGACCGGGUUGAACAAACCACUGGUGUAGCUGUUGUUCUGCCAAGAGCAUCGCAGCGUAGCUAAGUUUGGAAAGGAUAAACGCUGAAAGCAUCUAAGCGUGAAGCCAACUCUAAGAUGAAUCUUCUCUAAGCUCUCUAGAAGACUACUAGUUUGAUAGGCUGGGUGUGUAAUGGAUGAAAGUCCUUUAGCUGACCAGUACUAAUAGAGCGUUUGGCUUAUCUUUAAUAAAGCAU
rnacentral:rRNA from 1 species